rnacentral:rRNA from 1 species
GGCUCAGGACGAACGCUGGCGGCGUGCCUAAUACAUGCAAGUCGAGCGAACUGAAGGGAGCUUGCUCCCGGAAGUUAGCGGCGGACGGGUGAGUAACACGUGGGUAACCUGCCUGUAAGACUGGGAUAACUCCGGGAAACCGGAGCUAAUACCGGAUAUUUUCUUGAACCGCAUGGUUCAAGAAUGAAAGRCGGUUUCGGCUGUCACUUACAGAUGGACCCGCGGCGCAUUAGCUAGUUGGUGAGGUAAUGGCUCACCAAGGCGACGAUGCGUAGCCGACCUGAGAGGGUGAUCGGCCACACUGGGACUGAGACACGGCCCAGACUCCUACGGGAGGCAGCAGUAGGGAAUCUUCCGCAAUGGACGAAAGUCUGACGGAGCAACGCCGCGUGAGUGAUGAAGGUUUUCGGAUCGUAAAGCUCUGUUGUUAGGGAAGAACAAGUACGAGAGUAACUGCUCGUACCUU